AGGGUAUGCGGAACGAUCAUU
rnacentral:rRNA from 1 species